UACGAAGGGGGCUAGCGUUGCUCGGAAUUACUGGGCGUAAAGCGCACGUAGGCGGCUCUUUAAGUCGGGGGUGAAAUCCUGGAGCUUAACUCCAGAACUGCCUUCGAUACUGGAGAGCUCGAGUCCGGGAGAGGUGAGUGGAACUGCGAGUGUAGAGGUGAAAUUCGUAGAUAUUCGCAAGAACACCAGUGGCGAAGGCGGCUCACUGGCCCGGUACUGACGCUGAGGCACGAAAGCGUGGGGAGCAAACAGG
rnacentral:rRNA from 1 species